AGGACGAACGCUGGCGGCGUGCUUAACACAUGCAAGUCGAGCGGAAAGGCCCUUCGGGGUACUCGAGCGGCGAACGGGUGAGUAACACGUGAGCAACCUGCCCUUAGCUCCGGGAUAGCUCCGGGAAACCGGAAUUAAUACCGGAUAUGACCUAGGCCGACAUCGGCUGUGGUGGAAAGUUUUUCGGCUGGGGAUGGACUCGCGGCCUAUCAGCUUGUUGGUGGGGUAAUGGCCUACCAAGGCGACGACGGGUAGCCGGCCUGAGAGGGCGACCGGCCACACUGGGACUGAGACACGGCCCAGACUCCUACGGGAGGCAGCAGUGGGGAAUCUUGCGCAAUGGGCGAAAGCCUGACGCAGCGACGCCGCGUGGGGGAUGAAGGCCUUCGGGUUGUAACCCCUUUCAGCAGGGACGAAGCGAAGUGACGGUACCUGCAGAAGAAGCGCCGGCUAACUACGCGCCAGCAGCCGC
rnacentral:rRNA from 1 species